UCCAGACUCCUACGGGAGGCAGCAGUGGGGAAUAUUGCACAAUGGGGGGAACCCUGAUGCAGCGACGCCGCGUGUGGGAAGACGGUCUUCUGGAUUGUAAACCACUGUCCCCAGGGACGAAAAUGACGGUACCUGGGGAGGAAGCUCCGGCUAACUACGUGCCAGCAGCCGCGGUAAUACGUAGGGAGCAAGCGUUGUCCGGAAUUACUGGGUGUAAAGGGAGCGUAGGCGGGGAUGCAAGUUGGGUGUCAAAACUACCGGCUCAACCGAUAGUCGCACUCAAAACUGCAACUCUUGAGUGAAGUAGAGGCAGGCGGAAUUCCUAGUGUAGCGGUGAAAUGCGUAGAUAUUAGGAGGAACACCAGUGGCGAAGGCGGCCUGCUGGGCUUUUACUGACGCUGAGGCUCGAAAGUGUGGGGAGCAAACAGGAUUAGAUACCCCAGUAA
rnacentral:rRNA from 1 species